AUACUUACCUGGCAGGGGAAGUAUCAUGAUCACGGAGAUGACUUUCCGAGAUUGAGGUUCAUCCAUUGCAUUGUGGGUGUGCUGACUUUCGCCAUUUCCCCAAUUGUGGGAAACUUGACUGCAUAAUUUGUGGUAGUGGGUGACUACAUUUGCACUUCCCCC